GCUGGGUGCGGUGGCUCACGCCUGUAAUCCCAGAACUUUGGGAGGCCGAGGCGGGUGGAUCACCUGAGGUCAGGAGUUCGAGACCAGCCUGACCAACAUGGUGAAACCCCGUCUCUA
rnacentral:SRP_RNA from 1 species